GCCUGUGACCAAAUCACCCUGAAUACGCCCGAUCUCGUCCGAUCUUGGAAACUAAGCAGAGUCUAAGCCUGCUGAUUACUUGGAUGGAAGACCGCUUGGGAGGAAUACCAGGCAAGGGGUAGUAGGUU
rnacentral:rRNA from 1 species